rnacentral:rRNA from 1 species
GACGAACGCUGGCGGCGUGCCUAAUACAUGCAAGUCGAACGCAGUGGGGACGGGUGAUUACCACGUGGGUAACCUCCCGUCAGAGGGGAUAACACUUGGAAACAGGUGCUAAACCGAUACUGAUGGAUGGACCCGCGGUGCCUUAGCUAGUUGGUGAGGUAACGGCUCACCAAGGCCACGAUGCAUCCCCGGCCUGAGAGGGUGAUCGGACACACAGGAACCGUGACACGGCCCAGACGCCUAGGGGAGGCAGCAGUAGGGAAUCUGCGGGAAUGGACGAAAGUCUGACCGAGCAACGCCGCGUGAGUGAAGAAGGUUUUCGGAUCGUAAAACUCUGUUGUUAGAGAAGCGGUAUCUAACCAGAAAGCCACGGCUAACUACGUGCCAGCAGCCGCGGUAAUUC